rnacentral:rRNA from 1 species
GAUGAACGCUGGCGGCGUGCCUAAUACAUGCAAGUCGAGCGAAUGGAUUAAGAGCUUGCUCUUAUGAAGUUAGCGGCGGACGGGUGAGUAACACGUGGGUAACCUGCCCAUAAGACUGGGAUAACUCCGGGAAACCGGGGCUAAUACCGGAUAACAUUUUGAACCGCAUGGUUCGAAAUUGAAAGGCGGCUACGGCUGUCACAUAUGGAUGGACCCGCGUCGCAUUAGCUAGUUGGUGAGGUAACGGCUCACCAAGGAAACGAUGCGUAGCCGCCCUGAGAGGGCGAACGGCCACACGGGGGCUGAGACACGGCCCAAACUCCUACGGGAGGCAGCAGUAGGGAAUCUUCCGCAAUGGACGAAAGUCUGACGGAGCAACGCCGCGUGAGUGAUGAAGGCUUUCGGGUCGUAAAACUCUGUUGUUAGGGAAGAACAAGUGCUAGUUGAAUAAGCUGGCACCUUGACGGUACCUAACCAGAAAGCCACGGCUAACUACGUGCCAGCCGCCGCCGUAA